rnacentral:rRNA from 1 species
CAGUAGCCGCGGGAAUACGAAGGGGGCUAGCGUUGUUCGGAAUCACUGGGCGUAAAGGGUGCGUAGGCGGAUUCUUAAGUCAGGGGUGAAAUCCCGAGGCUCAACCUCGGAACUGCCUUUGAUACUGGGGAUCUUGAGUCCGGAAGAGGUGAGUGGAACUGCGAGUGUAGAGGUGAAAUUCGUAGAUAUUCGCAAGAACACCGGUGGCGAAGGCGGCUCACUGGUCCGGAACUGACGCUGAGGCACGACAGCGUGGGGAGCAAACAGGAUUAGAUACCCCAGUAGUCCCUGUCUCUUAUAC